rnacentral:rRNA from 1 species
AUUGAACGCUGGCGGCAUGCUUUACACAUGCAAGUCGAACGGUAACAGGCCGCAAGGUGCUGACGAGUGGCGAACGGGUGAGUAAUGCAUUGGAACGUGCCCAGUCGUGGGGGAUAACGCAGCGAAAGCUGUGCUAAUACCGCAUACGAUCUAUGGAUGAAAGCGGGGGACCGUAAGGCCUCGCGCGAUUGGAGCGGCCGAUGUCAGAUUAGCUAGUUGGUGGGGUAAAGGCCCACCAAGGCGACGAUCUGUAGCUGGUCUGAGAGGACGACCAGCCACACUGGGACUGAGACACGGCCCAGACUCCUACGGGAGGCAGCAGUGGGGAAUUUUGGACAAUGGGCGCAAGCCUGAUCCAGCAAUGCCGCGUGCAGGAAGAAGGCCUUCGGGUUGUAAACUGCUUUUGUACGGAACGAAACGGUCUGGGUUAAUACCCUGGGCUAAUGACGGUACCGUAAGAAUAAGCACCGGCUAACUACGUGCCAGCCGCCGCCGUAAGAC